rnacentral:rRNA from 1 species
GACGAACGCUGGCGGCGUGCCUAAUACAUGCAAGUAGAACGCUGAAGGAGGAGCUUGCUUCUCUGGAUGAGUUGCGAACGGGUGAGUAACGCGUAGGUAACCUGCCUGGUAGCGGGGGAUAACUAUUGGAAACGAUAGCUAAUACCGCAUAAUAGUAGAUGUUGCAUGACAUUUGCUUAAAAGGUGCAAUUGCAUCACUACCAGAUGGACCUGCGUUGUAUUAGCUAGUUGGUGGGGUAACGGCUCACCAAGGCGACGAUACAUAGCCGACCUGAGAGGGUGAUCGGCCACACUGGGACUGAGACACGGCCCAGACUCCUUCGGGAGGCAGCAGUAGGGAAUCUUCGGCAAUGGACGGAAGUCUGACCGAGCAACGCCGCGUGAGUGAAGAAGGUUUUCGGAUCGUAAAGCCCUGUUGUAAGAGAAGAACGAGUGUGAGAGUGGAAAGUUCACACURURACGKAUCUUACCAGAAAGGACGGCUAACUACGUGC